rnacentral:rRNA from 1 species
AGUGAACGCUGGCGGUAGGCCUAACACAUGCAAGUCGAACGGCAGCACAGUAAGAGCUUGCUCUUACGGGUGGCGAGUGGCGGACGGGUGAGGAUUACAUCGGAAUCUACUUUUUCGUGGGGGAUAACGUAGGGAAACUUACGCUAAUACCGCAUACUACCUACGGGUGAAAGCAGGGGAUCUUCGGACCUUGCGCGAUUGAAUGAGCCGAUGUCGGAUUAGCUAGUUGGCGGGGUAAAGGCCCACCAAGGCGACGAUCCGUAGCUGGUCUGAGAGGAUGAUCAGCCACACUGGAACUGAGACACGGUCCAGACUCCUACGGGAGGCAGCAGUGGGGAAUAUUGGACAAUGGGCGCAAGCCUGAUCCAGCCAUACCGCGUGGGUGAAGAAGGCCUUCGGGUUGUAAAGCCCUUUUGUUGGGAAAGAAAAGCAGCAGGUUAAUACCCCGCUGUUCUGACGGUACCCAAAGAAUAAGCACCGGCUAACUUCGUG